CAGGAAGACUCUGGGUGUCAAAAGGCCCAGCACAUCCCUGGCGCACAAGGAAUCCAAGAGAGUGCGGAAGGUGGAGAGUGAGCCUGGUCCUUUGCAGAUCACAGAACAGUCUUGCAAGGACCAGUCCAAAGUCAAGAAAGCAGUGAAGCCAAAAACCACAGACAAGUAAGACCUGAAGCCAGCAAUUCACGAGCCCUCUGACAACAGGAAGGACAAGGGCUCCCAUCUUGUGGAGCCAAAAAGACUUUUGGACCCCGAGCUCCUGGGAGAUCCUCCAGAACGUGACGCCCUCAUCCCCAGUGGCGACAGCCCUGGGGAUUUGCAGAAGGAGAAGGUGCCCUUGUCUCCUGGAGAGAAGUUGCUCUCAUCUACAAGGAAGCCAGACUUGAAGAGGAGAGCCAUGACGAGUCCUGAGGAGUCCCCUGGAGAGAAGAAGGAAAUCCCAACUCAGAGCCUGUACCCCAGACAUGAGCGCAGUCUGGAAGGAGAAGUCAUUGACAGCAGCCUUGUGGAGAAGCUGCUGAAUGGUUCCUUGUCUGUCUGCACUCUGGGAGGGACACAAGAAAGUCCUGGGAUGCUUCUGGCUGCCAGCAGGCACGCUGUGGGUAAUGCUAAUUGAUAAGGGCACUUUCUUUUACAUUUUCUUGACUCGUAUCAAAUGAUUCGGAAGUUUCUCAUUCAGGUGAGCUGAUGAUUUGCACACUUGAUGCUUUAGAACCGAUGCUCUAAAACCUAUGAAAGGUUUUCAUUGAUUGACUCUCUUCCUUCAUGCUUCCUGUUCUUCUGGAAGACAAAGGCAGCAAUUUUCACUACGUUUUUACAAUUUCACGCCUCUCAGUUUCUUGUUAAUACCAUCAGAAGCUCCUGCACAUCUGGGGUAUCAGAGGGAUCUCACUCACCUGUGACCGUAGUUUUUCCUUCCCAUUGAUGGGGGGUAUCCCAAAACAGAUAUGCUUACAGGUCCUGACUUUGCCACCAGGAGUCUGAAAAUAUUUCUGUACAGUCAAGACUGAGUGGGGAAAAAAAGGCCCACCCAGAACAGAUGAAAUGUUUAUUUUCAGCAAUGGAAGGGCCUUACAUUUUAUUACAAUUAUCAAGGAGGUGUUCAGGAGAUCUAUCCUUGCCAUUAGAAAACAUAUCAUCUAUCCAAGUAAAAGAAGGUGAAAUGUCAUUUUCGGUUACUUGCCAGUGGACGUGAAAUCCCUGCCUGCUGUGCUUGGGUUUCCACUUUGUGAGUUCCAGUGCAUAAUUUUUUCUCUUUUCAACCAGAAUCUUUCAAACUGAGCUGUACUGGUCUCUACUUUAUUUGAACUUCUGGGACCUGAGUGAAUUUUUUCCUGCUUUCUUUGUUCCUGUCAGAGAGAAGACAACGGGGAUGUUCCCAAAAAGAAAAAGAAAUGAAAAGAAUCCCAACAGAUGUCAACUUCCAGCAAGUAAAGGCACCAAUAAACUGAAGUGAGUAUGCA
rnacentral:lncRNA from 1 species